rnacentral:rRNA from 1 species
CCGGCACGGGUGAGUAACACGUAUCCAACCUGCCGUCUACUCUUGGACAGCCUUCUGAAAGGAAGAUUAAUACAAGAUGGCAUCAUGAGUCCGCAUGUUCACAUGAUUAAAGGUAUUCCGGUAGACGAUGGGGAUGCGUUCCAUUAGAUAGUAGGCGGGGUAACGGCCCACCUAGUCUUCGAUGGAUAGGGGUUCUGAGAGGAAGGUCCCCCACAUUAGAACUGAGACACGGUCCAA